GUGUUUGUAAUUUAAAUAAAAUAUCAAGCUGUGACCUUGAACAUAGAGACCCCCCCCCUCUCCACACC
rnacentral:tRNA from 1 species